rnacentral:rRNA from 1 species
GAUGAACGCUGGCGGCGUGCCUAAUACAUGCAAGUCGAGCGAACAGACGAGGAGCUUGCUUCUCUGACGUUAGCGGCGGACGGGUGAGUAACACGUGGAUAACCUACCUAUAAGACUGGGAUAACUUCGGGAAACCGGAGCUCAUACCGGAUAAUAUAUUGAACCGCAUGGUUCAAUAGUGAAAGACGGUUUUGCUGUCACUUAUAGAUGGAUCCGCGCCGCAUUAGCUAGUUGGUAAGGUAACGGCUUACCAAGGCAACGAUGCGUAGCCGACCUGAGAGGGUGAUCGGCCACACUGGAACUGAGACACGGUCCAGACUCCUACGGGAGGCAGCAGUAGGGAAUCUUCCGCAAUGGGCGAAAGCCUGACGGAGCAACGCCGCGUGAGUGAUGAAGGUCUUCGGAUCGUAAAACUCUGUUAUUAGGGAAGAACAAAUGUGUAAGUAACUAUGCACGUCUUGACGGUACCAAAUCAGAAAGCCACGGCUAACUACGUG